rnacentral:lncRNA from 1 species
AAAUAUGAAAAUGACAAUUUGUUCAUUUUAAGAAAAUAUUUGGCAAUGAAUUUUUUUAUCUAUCUAUGUUGAUGAUAAAAAUAUCAUCAAAAGACUCCUUAAGAGCUUGAAAUAUUGUCAUUUCUUACAAAAUAAGUAUUUUGAAGAAUAUUUUAGAGUUCGAGUAAAUGAUGAAGAAUUAAUUGGUCCUGAAGUACCACAUUUUAAUUCAAUUGGGGCCAAAUACAUUAUGGACCUAUUAUUUGUUGUCAAUAUAUCAUCAAGUAUAUAUUUUGGUAUUUUAGAUAUGCAGGUAAUUUGUUUAACCCUCGUAAAGGUAUAGAUCACAAACAAACUAUAUGUUCACAUGAAGAAGUACAAUUACUCAUGGAGAUCUAUGAAACAAACAACAAUAACAAUCUCAUUAAACAAAAUGAUGAGGAAAGUUGAGCACUAUAGAAGAUAAAUCAAGAAUGUGAUUUGGUUGAAGUAUGUGACUCAUCAGAUACAAGAAUUUGUGAGUUUUCUUCUAAAAGGUUCUUGCAACGAUUCAACAUGAAGAUAAUGUCGCACAAACUACAUAUUUGGAGAAGAUUAUAUGAUAAAGAAGAUAAGACAUGUUUUUCUACAAAGUCAGUUUCAAGUAAAACUUUUGAGCAACUACUACAACUACAUAAGAUUAUUUGAUUUUCUUCGCCUCAUAUAUAAUUGUCUUUAUGAGGGGGA